CGUGGUCGUGUGGCCGAUCGCGGCCUUGUCUCUGUGUGGCCCUUCGUGGUCGUGUGGCCGAUUGCGGCCUUGUCUCUGUGUGGCCCUUCGUGGUCGUGUGGCCGAUCGCGGCCUUGUCUCUGCGUGGCCCAUUGUGGUCGUGUGGCCGAUCGCGGCCUUGUCUCUGUGUGGCCUAUCGUGGUUGUGUGGCCGAUCGCGGCCUCGUCUCUGUGUGGCCCAUCGUGAUCGUGUGGCCGAUCGCGGCCUUGUCUCUAUGUUGCUUGUUUUCUUGUUCUUUCUCCUUCUCUUAUUAUGUUUUAAUUUGUUUUUCUCUGUUUCAGGAACUGCAAGAUUCUCCUCUGAUGCUGAUGCAAACUUUCACCUCCAUCCUCCCCACCACCACCAGGAUGGUCCCUGUCCAUACUCCCCGGGGGUUGGCUACGCCCCUGCCUUCAGCUUCAGGCAGGAAACGCAAAGUCUGCAACCCUCAGGACGUGAGCUACGGAUGGGGCCUACGCCAAAGAUUAUUAACCUUAUAUAUUCUGCUUGCUGUUUGGUAAUAAAUAUCAGUGUUACGUUA